GGGAUGUGAUGAGUGGUCAUUACUCGCAAUAAAUAUGCGAGAAGAGCGUUCCAGCCCAGCCUGGUUACGACAAAAUGGGCGCUCUUAUUAUUACCAAUCUGAUCCC
rfam:Solanum lycopersicum cultivar Heinz 1706 chromosome 1, whole genome shotgun sequence.